GUAACGGUGUCGUUAGACACCACCUCUUAUAUUCAAAACAAAUUAUU
rfam:Picea glauca, whole genome shotgun sequence.